rfam:Salmo salar isolate Sally breed double haploid chromosome ssa16, whole genome shotgun sequence.
UGUAUUCACUCCUUUAAGUCGCUCUGGAUAAGAGCAUCUGCUAAAUGACUAAAA